ACGAGCGCUGGCGGCGUGCUUAACACAUGCAAGUCGAGCGGUAAGGCCCUUUCGGGGGUACACGAGCGGCGAACGGGUGAGUAACACGUGGGUGACCUGCCCUCAGCUCUGGGAUAAGCCCGGGAAACUGGGUCUAAUACCGGAUAUGACUCCAUGACGCAUGUUGUGGGGUGGAAAGCCUUGUGCGGCUGAGGAUGGGCCCGCGGCCUAUCAGCUCGUUGGUGGGGUGANGGCCUACCAAGGCGACGACGGGUAGCCGGCCUGAGAGGGCGACCGGCCACACUGGGACUGAGACACGGCCCAGACUCCUACGGGAGGCAGCAGUGGGGAAUCUUGCGCAAUGGGCGAAAGCCUGACGCAGCGACGCCGCGUGAGGGAUGACGGCCUGGU
rnacentral:rRNA from 1 species